CUACGGGGCGCUGCAGUGAGGAAUAUUGCACAAUGGGGGGAACCCUGAUGCAGCAACGCCGCGUGGAGGAUGACGCAUUUCGGUGUGUAAACUCCUUUUAUAUGUCAAGAAAAUGACGGUAGCAUAUGAAUAAGCACCGGCUAACUCCGUGCCAGCAGCCGCGGCAAUAUGGAGGGUGCAAGCGUUACUCGGAAUCACUGGGCGUAAAGGACGCGUAGGCGGGUUGGAAAGUCAGGUGUGAAAUCCUACAGCUUAACUGUAGAACUGCACUUGAAACUUCUAAUCUAGAGUAUGGGAGGGGGAGAUGGAAUUAGUGGUGUAGGGGUAAAAUCCGUAGAUAUCACUAGGAAUACCUAAAGCGAAGGCGAUCUCCUGGAACAUUACUGACGCUAAGGCGUGAAAGCGUGGGGAGCAAACAGGAUUAGAUACCCCUGUAGUC
rnacentral:rRNA from 1 species